GAGACCUUUAAAAAUAGUCCCGUGAGGCUAGGAAGGUGCGGUUCUAGGGGUGUAGGCUAAGUAUACCUAUACCUAAAUCAAGCCACCAAGACUUACGGAGAAGUUUUGGUGGCUUUUUUGA
rfam:Lactobacillus equi DPC 6820 NODE_232, whole genome shotgun sequence.